GAAGAAGAAGAAGAAGUACAGAGCAGGAAACAUGUUGGUGUGGGCAGGCGUUCCCUCCUUUGGUUGAGUUUUGUCCAGAGUUUGGUUCCGAGAAGACACCCAACCGUCGCCUCUCCACCAGCCUAACGGCCAGCCUCGGGUCUUUCAAUGGCUAAUCCUAUCACAACGAACACCACAAAUACUGAUAAAGAGGGUGAAGGACCUAGCUCAAACUAUUUAGCUUUUGCCUUAGUGCUGGCUUUCUUCUUUGUGGGCCUUACCGGGGUGGUGGUCUGCCACGUGCUAAAGAAGAGGGGCUACCGGUUCACCACCUCCCAGGGAGACGACGAUGAUUAUGAUGAUGUGUUUGAGGAUGGUGACGAGGAGAUGGAACGACGAGAUCGGCACGAGACCAUGAGUGAAAACGACGACACAGUUGGACAUAUUAUCCAAUGCAUCAUGAAAAAUGAAGCAAACUCUGAUGCUCUGAACGCCAUGGUUCCCAACAUCAGCAUUGAUUUAGACACGGCAGGGUCCCCACCGCUCACCCCCGUAUCACCGGUGUCGCCUGCAGGAGCAGGCAAGCUCCCAUUCAGCCAGCUGCAUCCCAUCGGCGGCGUGAACGCCGGCGAGAACAAAUUGCCGCUGAUGAAGAAGCCCUCGCAACGAAAGUCAAUCAGGCGCCGUCCUAGUCAGGUCACGGUCCUCUCUGUGGGCAGGUUUCGUGUGACAAAGUGUGAUAAAUCAGGAAAGGAGCGAACCACUCUGGACUCUGAAGGCAGCUUCCACUCGGCGUCGGCAGACGUCCCGUCCCCUCCAACAGCAAAGCCAUGACACAUUCCCCUAAGGAAAAGACAGAAGACUGAGAGGAGUGAUAGACGUUCAGUUUUCCACAUGGAGAGCAGGACCAACAUCUCGGCACUUUAGAUUUCUUUUUUUCUUCAUACUUCGGAGGGACGAACAGAUCCAGAAGGGAUCUUGUCCUAUUACUGCUCCACCGGUAGUAGAAUCUGCUGCUGAGAACCUGCUGGACAAAAGAGGAAGAACAUUUGCAUGCGUCUUUUUUUCCUUCCUGCAGUAGAGUUCCAACAGUGCCUGGCUCAGAGGCGGGACAGCAGCCUGAUGCUAUGAGCUGAGUUUGAGCAAUGGCUUUCAGUAACUAUGGCAACACACCAAAGUGCUCCAUGACGGAUGUAUGUAUAUAUGUUUUUAUAUGUAGAAUAAUAAAAUAUAGCAUUUUUGUGUGUUAUAUCAAUUUAAAUUAUAAAAGAAACCCAGACGCAGGCAGAGACAGAGCUCUUGUUCUAAAACAGGAAGCUGGAGCAAACUGAUGCAGCACCAGGAGAUCCACCGGGGAUAUGUCAUCUCCCGUAAAACAUGAACUCAAAGUGCUUUUUACCAUCUUUCAUCAAGUUUUUACAGUUUUUUUUUCUUUUUUUUAUUUUUUAUCUAAUUAUAUUGUUUUUUUUUCUUUUUGUUCUGUCUUGUCUCAAUAAAGAACUCUAAGUCAAACUAGAGAAAAACUGCACUUCCUACAAAAAUGCAGUGUGAAUGCCAUAAGCUGAAUGUUUUUUAGUGUAAAUAGCAGAUGCAUUUGAAGUCAACUGCAGAAGACCAGCAGAAAUGUAAGAAAAGGGCAGGAGGGUCAAAAUUAGGGUUUUAAGGAGUCAUCACUCCAUCAUAAAGAAAUGAAACAUGCAAAAAUAAAUCUUGAAAAGCCAA